rnacentral:rRNA from 1 species
CACGUAGGGGACGAGCGUUGUCCGGAAUCAUGGGGCGUAAAGCGCGUGUAGGCGGUCCGGUAAGUCCGCUGUGAAAGUCGGGGGCUCAACCCUCGGAUGCCGGUGGAUGCUGUCGGGCUUGAGUACGGAAGAGGCGAGUGGAAUUCCUGGUGUAGCGGUGAAAUGCGCAGAUAUCAGGAGGAACACCAAUUGCGAAGGCAGCUCGCUGGGACGUUACUGACGCUGAGACGCGAAAGCGUGGGGAGCAAACAGG